rnacentral:rRNA from 21 species
AAAUUGAAGAGUUUGAUCAUGGCUCAGAUUGAACGCUGGCGGCAGGCCUAACACAUGCAAGUCGAACGGUAACAGGAAGCAGCUUGCUGCUUUGCUGACGAGUGGCGGACGGGUGAGUAAUGUCUGGGAAACUGCCUGAUGGAGGGGGAUAACUACUGGAAACGGUGGCUAAUACCGCAUAACGUCGCAAGACCAAAGAGGGGGACCUUCGGGCCUCUUGCCAUCAGAUGUGCCCAGAUGGGAUUAGCUAGUUGGUGAGGUAACGGCUCACCAAGGCGACGAUCCCUAGCUGGUCUGAGAGGAUGACCAGCCACACUGGAACUGAGACACGGUCCAGACUCCUACGGGAGGCAGCAGUGGGGAAUAUUGCACAAUGGGCGCAAGCCUGAUGCAGCCAUGCCGCGUGUAUGAAGAAGGCCUUCGGGUUGUAAAGUACUUUCAGCGGGGAGGAAGGUGUUGCGGUUAAUAACCGCAGCAAUUGACGUUACCCGCAGAAGAAGCACCGGCUAACUCCGUGCCAGCAGCCGCGGUAAUACGGAGGGUGCAAGCGUUAAUCGGAAUUACUGGGCGUAAAGCGCACGCAGGCGGUCUGUCAAGUCGGAUGUGAAAUCCCCGGGCUCAACCUGGGAACUGCAUUCGAAACUGGCAGGCUUGAGUCUUGUAGAGGGGGGUAGAAUUCCAGGUGUAGCGGUGAAAUGCGUAGAGAUCUGGAGGAAUACCGGUGGCGAAGGCGGCCCCCUGGACAAAGACUGACGCUCAGGUGCGAAAGCGUGGGGAGCAAACAGGAUUAGAUACCCUGGUAGUCCACGCCGUAAACGAUGUCUACUUGGAGGUUGUGCCCUUGAGGCGUGGCUUCCGGAGCUAACGCGUUAAGUAGACCGCCUGGGGAGUACGGCCGCAAGGUUAAAACUCAAAUGAAUUGACGGGGGCCCGCACAAGCGGUGGAGCAUGUGGUUUAAUUCGAUGCAACGCGAAGAACCUUACCUGGUCUUGACAUCCACGGAAGUUUUCAGAGAUGAGAAUGUGCCUUCGGGAACCGUGAGACAGGUGCUGCAUGGCUGUCGUCAGCUCGUGUUGUGAAAUGUUGGGUUAAGUCCCGCAACGAGCGCAACCCUUAUCCUUUGUUGCCAGCGAUUAGGUCGGGAACUCAAAGGAGACUGCCAGUGAUAAACUGGAGGAAGGUGGGGAUGACGUCAAGUCAUCAUGGCCCUUACGACCAGGGCUACACACGUGCUACAAUGGCGCAUACAAAGAGAAGCGACCUCGCGAGAGCAAGCGGACCUCAUAAAGUGCGUCGUAGUCCGGAUUGGAGUCUGCAACUCGACUCCAUGAAGUCGGAAUCGCUAGUAAUCGUGGAUCAGAAUGCCACGGUGAAUACGUUCCCGGGCCUUGUACACACCGCCCGUCACACCAUGGGAGUGGGUUGCAAAAGAAGUAGGUAGCUUAACCUUCGGGAGGGCGCUUACCACUUUGUGAUUCAUGACUGGGGUGAAGUCGUAACAAGGUAACCGUAGGGGAACCUGCGGUUGGAUCACCUCCUUACCUUAAAGAA